UUGGAUCUGGAGAGUGGAGACCAGCCUUCUAGAUGACCUAGGUUGGACGAUUGAGAUUCAGACUAACCCAUUAAAGAGUAAAGACCUAUACUUCUCUCAUUCUCCGCCGCUGUGCCUCCAUUCUCUCCAUCACUCGAAACUUUUCUCACAUCACUCCUCAUUCACGACUCACAGUCUCACAUCGAUCUUUUGAUCCUCUCCCUUCAACUCACUUUCUUCGUCUUCCUCUUGAUAGUAGGGCAUUCUUGCAGCCUUGCAAACACAUAUAUGAGAGUAUGUAUCUAAGAUUACUCGUUGCCUAAGGAUUUGACAGCUCAAGAAGGUACUGAAGCUGCACCAAGGAAGAAGGGAGUUGCAGGUUCCUCUUAAGUCUGUGAGCUAUUCCGCUAAAGUUCCUUAGUAAUUU
rnacentral:lncRNA from 1 species